CCCAAAUGACCCUCCAAGACCCUCUGGAGGCACCCGCAGUGCUCCUUAAUUUGCAGCUCUACAGAAUGAGACCAGCGUGGCAGCCCCCUUUCAGGACAGCUCCCGAGACGAGACGCGAGAGCAGCCCCUAAAUCUCACCCAGCAAAGCCGUUUCUUCCUAACCGGGCUGGGGAGUGCCGCGCGCUGCCAGCAGAUGGCGACAGAGGAUUAGCCUGCGGAAACCGGGUGGCAAAUGAAUCUUACUAUAACCACUUGGAACCACUGUGUUUCUGGUCCAUCUUGUGAGGCCCAUCUUUGGUUCAGAGGGAUGGAGGCAGAAGUCAUACGGCAGCUUCACGAUUCGAACUCAAAUGUCUGGUCAGCUACUCAGCCAUCUCUUCCAAGCUGUCAGGUUUCCCUAAGGUAAGAGCCAUACUGAUAUGGUUUGGCUCUGUGUCCCCACCCAAAUCUCAUCUUGAAUUUUAAUCCCAAUAACCCCCAAGUGUCAAGGGGGGAAUCUGGUGGGAGGUGAUUGGAUCAUGGGGACAGUUUUGCCCAUGCUGUUCUCAUGAUAGUGAGUUCUCAUAAGAUAUGAUGGUUUUAUAAGGGGCUAUUCCCACUACACUUUUAUCUCUCCUGCCACCCUGUGAAGAAGGACAUAUUUUCUUCCCCUAAUUCCAUGAUUGUAAGUUUCCUGAGGCCCCCCAGCCAUGUGGAACUGUG
rnacentral:lncRNA from 10 species